rnacentral:rRNA from 1 species
UACGAAGGGGGCGAGCGUUGUUCGGAAUUACUGGGCGUAAAGGGCGCGCAGGCGGCGGACCAAGUCAGGCGUGAAAGCCCCGGGCUCAACCUGGGAGGUGCGUCUGGGACUGGUUUGCUGGAGUUCGGGAGAGGAGCGUGGAAUUCCCAGUGUAGAGGUGAAAUUCGUAGAUAUUGGGAAGAACACCGGUGGCGAAGGCGGCGCUCUGGACCGAGACUGACGCUGAGGCGGCGAAAAGCGUGGGGAGCAAACAGG